UCUGAACUGCAGAAUAAUUUAAGAUUAAAAUCCCAGGUAGCAAAGAAGAUGAGAGAUUAUUUACAGGACAAAGAGGGAUUUGUUGAAAUUACCACACCAACUCUUUCUGUCAACACACCUGGUAAAUGUGCUGCCAUCAAGGUUCAUAUGACUCUCCCAGUUGCAACAUCCUCAUGCCUCCUUCAGAAUGCAGGCACUGUACAUCCUUCCUCCAGAUCUCGUAUAUAGCUAACUGGUUUCCCUUCAGUCCAUUUCAACAGCACAAGUCAUAUAAACCACUUCUCUCCUCUUACUCUUAUCUAGCAAGCUUAUUUAAGCCUGUUGGAUGUUCAAGCCUCUAGCAGACAAAACCUCCUUUAGCCCUCCCCCUGUUCCCUUCAACCCUUCCUUCCCUCCCAAAUUUAUAUACUGUACUCUCCUUAUUGUCCUAUCCUGCUCAGCCCUAAUCUAAACUAACCACCUCAACAACUCCUCAGACCUUUUAAUUAUCACUUUUUUAUUGUAUUAAGAGUACAUUUAAUUUAAAGUGGUCAUAAGUAUUUUGCAACAAACUAGUUAAAUAAUAAAGUGCAAUUCUGUACAUUGCUAAUUCAUUCAGGUGAAAGAAUUUACUAUAGUUUCUCAGUGUACAUUGAAAUACAGGUGUAAUUACCUAUUGUUAGCUAUCCAUUUGUAGCUACAGAAACCAAGCUAUGUUCAUGGUAUCUCAUUUUCAGUAAUUAAUUCGUCACAUACAUAUGAUGUCCAUAUUAUGCAUAGUGUUUUGGCCAGGGUUAAAUCUGCAGUUUUUCAUUGAGAAUAUUGUGUAAACAAGAGAGUAAGCAUUAUUGUACAGAAAAUUUAAUAACAAGUGUAAAAUAAAAUAUCUUUAUGAUAACACUGUAUAUGAUAGUGAGGUUUGGGCAUCAGAAUUCAAAUGUGAUUUUUACAUUGAAUGUUAAAACUUAUUGGAAGCAUGUAAUAUUUUUAUUUUUAACACCCUGGCUAUCUCCCACUGAGGCAGGGUGACCUAAAAAAGAAUAAACAAAAGUUUUUCUUUUUCCAUUUAGUAAUUUGUACAGGAGAAGGGGCUACUAGCCCCUUGUUCCUGACAUUUUAGUCACCGUUUACGACAUGCAUGGCUUACAGAGGAAGGAUUCUUUUCCAUUUCCCCCUGGAGAAGCAUGUUAUAGUUGCAUAUAAUGUAUUUAGUUGCAAGAAAAUGUAAAACAAGGAAUUUAAAGUAAGCAUGGAAAAAAGCAAGGU